rnacentral:rRNA from 1 species
GGUUAAGCGACUAAGCGUACACGGUGGAUGCCUAGGCAGUCAGAGGCGAUGAAGGGCGUGCUAAUCUGCGAAAAGCGUCGGUAAGCUGAUAUGAAGCGUUAUAACCGACGAUACCCGAAUGGGGAAACCCAGUGCAAUACGUUGCACUAUCGUUAGAUGAAUACAUAGUCUAACGAGGCGAACCGGGGGAACUGAAACAUCUAAGUACCCCGAGGAAAAGAAAUCAACCGAGAUUCCCCCCAGUAGCGGCGAGCGAACGGGGAGGAGCCCAGAGUCUGAAUCAGUUUGUGUGUUAGUGGAAGCGUCUGGAAAGUCGCACGGUACAGGGUGAUAGUCCCGUACACCAAAAUGCACAGGCUGUGAACUCGAUGAGUAGGGCGGGACACGUGACAUCCUGUCUGAAUAUGGGGGGACCAUCCUCCAAGGCUAAAUACUCCUGACUGACCGAUAGUGAACCAGUACCGUGAGGGAAAGGCGAAAAGAACCCCGGCGAGGGGAGUGAAAUAGAACCUGAAACCGUGUACGUACAAGCAGUGGGAGCACCUUCGUGGUGUGACUGCGUACCUUUUGUAUAAUGGGUCAGCGACUUAUAUUUUGUAGCAAGGUUAACCGAAUAGGGGAGCCGUAGGGAAACCGAGUCUUAACUGGGCGUCUAGUUGCAAGGUAUAGACCCGAAACCCGGUGAUCUAGCCAUGGGCAGGUUGAAGGUUGGGUAACACUAACUGGAGGACCGAACCGACUAAUGUUGAAAAAUUAGCGGAUGACUUGUGGCUGGGGGUGAAAGGCCAAUCAAACCGGGAGAUAGCUGGUUCUCCCCGAAAGCUAUUUAGGUAGCGCCUCGUGAACUCAUCUUCGGGGGUAGAGCACUGUUUCGGCUAGGGGGCCAUCCCGGCUUACCAAACCGAUGCAAACUCCGAAUACCGAAGAAUGUUAUCACGGGAGACACACGGCGGGUGCUAACGUCCGUCGUGAAGAGGGAAACAACCCAGACCGCCAGCUAAGGUCCCAAAGUCAUGGUUAAGUGGGAAACGAUGUGGGAAGGCACAGACAGCCAGGAUGUUGGCUUAGAAGCAGCCAUCAUUUAAAGAAAGCGUAAUAGCUCACUGGUCGAGUCGGCCUGCGCGGAAGAUGUAACGGGGCUAAACCAUGCACCGAAGCUGCGGCAGCGACACUUAGGUGUUGUUGGGUAGGGGAGCGUUCUGUAAGCCGUUGAAGGUGACCUGUGAGGGUUGCUGGAGGUAUCAGAAGUGCGAAUGCUGACAUAAGUAACGAUAAUGCGGGUGAAAAACCCGCACGCCGGAAGACCAAGGGUUCCUGUCCAACGUUAAUCGGGGCAGGGUGAGUCGACCCCUAAGGCGAGGCUGAAAAGCGUAGUCGAUGGGAAACAGGUUAAUAUUCCUGUACUUGGUGUUACUGCGAAGGGGGGACGGAGAAGGCUAGGCUGGCCGGGCGACGGUUGUCCCGGUUUAAGCGUGUAGGGGGAGUGACCAGGUAAAUCCGGUUGCUUAUCAACCCUGAGGCGUGAUGACGAUGCACCACGGUGCAGAAGCAGUUGAUGCCAUGCUUCCAGGAAAAGCCUCUAAGCAUCAGGUAACAUUAAAUCGUACCCCAAACCGACACAGGUGGUCAGGUAGAGAAUACUCAGGCGCUUGAGAGAACUCGGGUGAAGGAACUAGGCAAAAUGGUGCCGUAACUUCGGGAGAAGGCACGCUGGCGUUAGGUGAAAGGACUAGCUCCUGGAGCUGAAGCCAGUCGCAGAUACCAGCUGGCUGCAACUGUUUAAUAAAAACACAGCACUGUGCAAACACGAAAGUGGACGUAUACGGUGUGACGCCUGCCCGGUGCUGGAAGGUUAAUUGAUGGGGUCAGCCGCAAGGGGAAGCUCUUGAUCGAAGCCCCAGUAAACGGCGGCCGUAACUAUAACGGUCCUAAGGUAGCGAAAUUCCUUGUCGGGUAAGUUCCGACCUGCACGAAUGGCGUAAUGAUGGCCAGGCUGUCUCCACCCGAGACUCAGUGAAAUUGAACUCGCUGUGAAGAUGCAGUGUACCCGCGGCAAGACGGAAAGACCCCGUGAACCUUUACUAUAGCUUGACACUGAACAUUGAGCCUUGAUGUGUAGGAUAGGUGGGAGGCCUUGAAGUGUGGACGCCAGUCUGCAUGGAGCCAACCUUGAAAUACCACCCUUUAAUGUUUGAUGUUCUAACUCGGCCCCAUGAUCUGGGGUGAGGACAGUGUCUGGUGGGUAGUUUGACUGGGGCGGUCUCCUCCCAAAGAGUAACGGAGGAGCACGAAGGUUAGCUAAUCACGGUCGGACAUCGUGAGGUUAGUGCAAAGGCAUAAGCUAGCUUGACUGCGAGAGUGACGGCUCGAGCAGGUACGAAAGUAGGUCUUAGUGAUCCGGUGGUUCUGAAUGGAAGGGCCAUCGCUCAACGGAUAAAAGGUACUCCGGGGAUAACAGGCUGAUACCGCCCAAGAGUUCAUAUCGACGGCGGUGUUUGGCACCUCGAUGUCGGCUCAUCACAUCCUGGGGCUGAAGUAGGUCCCAAGGGUAUGGCUGUUCGCCAUUUAAAGUGGUACGCGAGCUGGGUUUAGAACGUCGUGAGACAGUUCGGUCCCUAUCUGCCGUGGGCGUUGGAAGAUUGAGAGGGGCUGCUCCUAGUACGAGAGGACCGGAGUGGACGAAUCACUGGUGUUCGGGUUGUCAUGCCAAUGGCAUUGCCCGGUAGCUAAAUUCGGAAGAGAUAACCGCUGAAAGCAUCUAAGCGGGAAACUUGCCUCGAGAUGAGUCUUCCCUGGGGCUUAAAGCCCCCUGAAGGAACGUUAAAGACUAUGACGUUGAUAGGCUGGGUGUGUAAGUGCAGCGAUGUAUUGAGCUAACCAGUACUAAUGAUCCGUGAGGCUUAACCUU